rnacentral:rRNA from 1 species
CACGUAGGGUGCGAGCGUUGUCCGGAAUUAUUGGGCGUAAAGAGCUCGUAGGCGGUUUGUCGCGUCUGCUGUGAAAUCCGGAGGCUCAACCUCGAGACGCCGAUGGAAACCAUCUGGCUAGAGUCCGGAAGAGGAGAGUGGAAUUCCUGGUGUAGCGGUGAAAUGCGCAGAUAUCAGGAAGAACACCCGUGGCUAAGGCGGCUCUCUAGUACGGUACUGACGCUGAGACGCGAAAGCGUGGGGAGCGAACAGG